rnacentral:lncRNA from 1 species
GGUUAUCGAGGUUCCUGAUCUAUGUCAGGAGAGUCCAUUAGGAUUUGCGAAUUAUCGUACUUCUAUGGCUCUGACCCACACACACUGUUGCUUCCACGCAUACGUGCGUUGGCCCGGAUCAAUCUAGUAUCAGAGCCAAUCUUUUAUGUCAGAGAGGAGAUCUGUCGAUUUCUUAGCCGUAUAGAGCGUGACCAGACAGGUAGUGUGGUAAAUC